CGCGGGAUGGAGCAGUCUGGUAGCUCGUCGGGCUCAUAACCCGAAGGUCGUCGGUUCAAAUCCGGCUCCGCAACCA
rnacentral:tRNA from 1 species